ACGGCCAUAGAAGGUAUAAAACAUCGCAUCCCGUCCGCUCUGCGCAAUUUAAGUUACCUAUCGCUCCCUUGGUAUAAGGUGGGGGACCACUUGGGAAUCCCGGGUGCUGUUGUUUUU
rnacentral:rRNA from 2 species